CCUACGGGUGGCUGCAGUGGGGAAUAUUGGACAAUGGGCGCAAGCCUGAUCCAGCAAUGCCGCGUGUGUGAAGAAGGCCUGCGGGUUGUAAAGCACUUUAAGCAGGAAAGAAGGGGUGAAAGUUAAUACCUUUCAUCAUUGACGUUACCUGCAGAAUAAGCACCGGCUAACUCCGUGCCAGCAGCCGCGGUAAUACGGAGGGGAAGAGCGUUAAUCAGAAUGCCUGGGCGCAAUUUGAGCGUACGCGGGUGAAAGCCCUGGGCUUAACCUGGGAACUGCGGUGGAUACUGUCGGGCUAGAGUGUGGUAGAGGGGAGUGGAAUUUCCGGUGUAGCAGUGAAAUGCGUAGAGAUCGGAAGGAACACCAGUGGCGAAGGCGGCUCCCUGGACUAACACUGACGCUGAGGUGCGAAAGCGUGGGGAGCAAACAGGAUUAGAUACCCGAGUAGUC
rnacentral:rRNA from 1 species